CUUCCCGCGGUCCCACCUGGAAGGUGGGCGCUUCCCCCAGCGCCCGGCACAGCCCGGACCCCGGUGUAAAGUCGGGCAUCUGCGCAGUAAACAUCUGGCCUCGGAGCUGUCCUCCGCGCCUUGGCUGCCCCAGCCAGGGGAAGGAUAUGCGGAGGGCUCUAAGUCAAAGCGGGCGUUUUUGCGGGUGUAGACACUGCGGCGCCUGGGUCUGCAGGAGGGGCAGAUUUUCAGGUGGCCGGGACAGGUGAAGGCAGAGAGGAGUGGCUGUCCACCUGGGGAAGCAUCCUGAAAACAUCACACACAGUGGACCACGCUUUGCCCUCAGAGUGACUGCUCCGACCCGGAAGGAGAGGUCAACGACCCCUCAGGACACAAAGGGUUUCUUAGGUUGUUCUGCGCAGUCACAUGGCUUCCAGAACCAGAACGUUCAGCUCUUAAAGUCUGCACAGAAGAACUGAUAGAAUCUGCUCCUUUCAAUGGAAUCUGUGACUGUUUGGGAAGGAUGUGCAUGGAGAAGGGUCUGAUGAGGCUCCUGAUCCAGGCGGUCCACGUGCGUUCAGUGUGUUUGGACCCUAGGCACCUCUGUCUAUUGCUCGGUCUUGCGUACAUAGUCCAUAGCUUGGCAUCAGCACAGAUCGAUGCUUAGUGAGCACAAUUAAGAAACCAAACUAUGGAAAAUUAAGGACAGUAACAAAAGUAUCAUCAACAAAAAUCAAGCAUUUUCCUCUUUUUGAAACAAGAAAAGCGCAUCGUAGAAACCAAGAUUCUGUACAAUAUUCUAACAUUAUAUGUACAUAAAAUUAUAUUACUCAUAACUAUAUUGAAAA
ensembl:lncRNA